UAGACACAGCCACGGUGGCAGCAGUAAAAUGUCAGAGACCCAGGCAGCUGUGAAGCUGAGACAGGCUCCUCUCAGUCUGCUGGCUCACGCUGAGGGACCGAGGAACUGAGACCUUGAGUGCGAGGAGAAGCUUGCAACGCUGUCCUUAUUGGGACUACAAGCAAAGGGUUGCUUUGUUCCUCUGAUCACCGUGCAAGCCAAGCGUUGCAAAUGCAUGUUUUCAGGUGAGGCUGAGAGAGCUUGGAUCAGCCUGGAGUGCCAGAUUGACCUUCGGGCACUCACGCCUGGCUGUGGAGAUGCGUACAGGUCGAUGGAAACACAGAAAUCAUCCACGCUCUUCAAAGGUGGAGCAUCUUUCAGCCCUUUCUCCUCCUGCUUUCUGCCUUGGGCACCACAGCAGCCUUCACUGUAUCAAGGACGAGCAAAACACACCCAGGGUACUUCUCCUAAAUGCCAGUCAAAUGAUGACAGUUUACGUAAGAGAUUUAACUUCUCUUCUUCAACAUCAAAGAAACUGAUCUGGUUUUAUAGAUGAAUUCCAGAACGCCCAGGAAAGCUUGGCCAUAAGGGGCUACUUCCACCAUGUAAUCCAGACAAAGAGAAAAGCCUUCCGCUGAAUACGCCUUCCCGUACCCAAACCAGGUGUUAUGCAUCCCCAUACACAUGGACACGCUUACCCUGGUGCAAAGCACCUCGGCAGGAAUCACACAGCAUUGACAGCAUAUCACACCCUGAGCAACGUACUUUUGUAUUGAUGCAAAAAGCAUGCACAGAAGGGGAAAUGGCAGCUUUCCAAGUGGCCCCAGUUAAUAGCUCUGUUUUGCUUAAUGGUGCCUCCCAUUUAGACUAAAGAUGCUGUUUUAAAUAUGUAAGCAAUUAGUAUCUCUCUCUCUCAACACAUCUGUGCUUCUUCUAUCUGCUGCAUUAUAAAUCCACUGCAUCCCUCUCCAGCUCGGCAGUGCAUAUAUCACCAGAUAUUCUGAUUUUCAGCAACUUUCUGGUCUAAAAGAAUUAUGCUUGGAUUUGGAUAGACUCUGCCAGGCUGGCCUUGCCUAACCCCCAGCACAGCCGGCCUCUCCUCUCCAGGGCUGGCACUGGACCAACAGAUAAGGGGGAUGUAGGGAAAGGACCUCUUGGGUCUUUUUUUGGCUGCUCUUUGGUCC